ensembl:lncRNA
GUCUUGUUGUGUGCAAUACUCUCCCUUAUGUAAGACAAAAUUACCCAACAUGAGUGUUAUUCUCAGUGGGGGUGAUUGCACUGGUGCAUUCCAAACUCAAUGAGUGAUGGAAGGAGAUUGAGAGAGAGGUGAGAGAGAAAUAAUUUUUCCUUAAUGAUUAUCUUCAUUGCAGCCCUGCUGCACUCAGUGGUCUACAAUGAAGAUAAGGGAGGGAAACUGGAGGGAUAGAGGUAUCCUGCAAAAGCCAUGAGUCAAAAUUAAACUCACAAGCACCUGCUGAGCUACCACAACCCCCUAGAGUCAACAAUGUUAAGUGGAUUACUUCUUUGCAGAUUUAACCCUUACUUUAGCAUGAGUACUGAGGAGUUUUGAUAAACACUGACCAAAAGAUAAGCAGGCACUGUGUGCAGUUCAGAUCCUGUUUGCUCUUUAAAGAAUCACAUGUGCUAAGAGAGGGAUCUGAGAGUCAGUAAUAUAAGUUCUGGGGGUUUUUGUUUCAGAUUUUUCUUCAUGUACAGUACUGUGCAAAAGUUUUGAAUCUCUCCUAAUUUUUUUUUUUUUUUUUUGCUGCUAGGAAAAUGGAAAAUAUAUAGAAAUACAGUACAGAAAUACCUUUGAGUUUGAAAGUCAAUAUUUGGUAUGGUCACCUUUGCUCUUCAGCACAGCGUUAGAUCUCUUAGUCAAGCUUUAUUGUCAUUUCUUUAGGUAGACUUCAGAAAUGGAUCUCUGGGCUUCUUGAAGGACGUUCAAAGCUCUGCUUUAUAUGUUGGCUGUCUUUUAUUCUUUUCUCUGUCAGGAUGAUCCCACACUGCUUCAAUAAUGUAAAGGUUCAGACAUCAGAGAGGCCAGUACAUGACUGAUAGUGUUCCAUUGUAUGUUUCUUUUCCAACCGGGCAUGUUUUUACAGCAUUGGUAGAGUGUUUUGUGUUGAAAACACUUUCCAGAUAUCAUUGUUUUGUGGCUCAAAAUCUGAUAGUAUUUUUUCUGUGUUCAUGAUUCAGUUUAACAAAAUCCACAAAUCAACUGUCUGAAAUGCCGCCCCAAACCAUGACACAGCCUCCACCGUGUUUUACAGAUGGUUGAAGACAUUCAUUGUUGUACCUCUCUUUUUACUUCCUUCAUACAUGUUGUUAACAAAUUGAACCCAAUAAUUCAUAUUUGUAAUAAUGUUCUAGUCUUGUGUCAGAUAUUUCUUGAUUUUUUUCCCAAUUUCUUAAGAACAUUACUUGUGGAUAACUGUUUGGACCCAUCAUUCCUUCCUUUGUCCUCCACUUGUCCUGUUUCCCCAUAUUUCCAAUGUCACACUGAAAACCAUGGUAAGCUAUACCAUGUGUCCAGCUAAUAGGUAUGGGAAUCAGUUUGCAAACUGU